AGUCGAGCGAACAGAAGGGAGCUUGCUCCCGGAUGUUAGCGGCGGACGGGUGAGUAACACGUGGGUAACCUGCCUGUAAGACUGGGAUAACUCCGGGAAACCGGAGCUAAUACCGGAUAGUUCCUUGAACCGCAUGGUUCAAGGAUGAAAGACGGUUUCGGCUGUCACUUACAGAUGGACCCGCGGCGCAUUAGCUAGUUGGUGGGGUAAUGGCUCACCAAGGCGACGAUGCGUAGCCGACCUGAGAGGGUGAUCGGCCACACUGGGACUGAGACACGGCCCAGACUCCUACGGGAGGCAGCAGUAGGGAAUCUUCCGCAAUGGACGAAAGUCUGACGGAGCAACGCCGCGUGAGUGAUGAAGGUUUUCGGAUCGUAAAGCUCUGUUGUUAGGGAAGAACAAGUGCGAGAGUAACUGCUCGCACCUUGACGGUGGCUAACCAGAAAGCCACGGCUAACUACGUGCCAGCAGCCGCGGUAAUACGUAGGUGGCAAGCGUUGUCCGGAAUUAUUGGGCGUAAAGGGCUCGCAGGCGGUUUCUUAAGUCUGAUGUGAAAGCCCCCGGCUCAACCGGGGAGGGUCAUUGGAAA
rnacentral:rRNA from 1 species